GUAGGGAAUAUUGGGCAAUGGUCGGAAGACUGACCCAGCCAUGCCGCGUGCAGGAAGACGGCCCUCUGGGUUGUAAACUGCUUUUAUCUGGGAAGAAAAAGGCCAUGCGUGGCAAAUUGCCGGUACCAGAUGAAUAAGCACCGGCUAACUCCGUGCCAGCAGCCGCGGUAAUACGGAGGGUGCGAGCGUUGUCCGGAUUUAUUGGGUUUAAAGGGUGCGUAGGCGGCUGAUUAAGUCAGCGGUGAAAGACUUCGGCUUAACCGGAGCAGUGCCGUUGAUACUGGUUGGCUUGAGUGUAGGAGGGGUACAUGGAAUUGAUGGUGUAGCGGUGAAAUGCAUAGAUACCAUCAGGAACACCGAUAGCGAAGGCAUUGUACUGGCCGACAACUGACGCUGAUGCACGAAAGUGUGGGGAUCGAACAGGAUUAGAUACCCCGGUAGUCC
rnacentral:rRNA from 1 species